rnacentral:rRNA from 1 species
AGAGUUUGAUCAUGGCUCAGAAUCAACGCUGGCGGCGCGCUUAACACAUGCAAGUCGAACGAGAAAGGGGAGCAAUCCCUGAGUAAAGUGGCGUACGGGUGAGUAACACGUGGAUGAUCUACCUCUUGGCGGGGAAUACCCCUGGGAAACCGGGGACAAUACCGCAUAAGCUCGAGAGAGGAAACCUGAAAAGGGCCGAGAGAGGAGUCUGCGGUCGAUUAGCUAGUUGGUAGGGUAAAGGCCUACCAAGGCAAAGAUCGAUAGCCGGCCUGAGAGGGCACACGGCCACACUGGCACUGAAACACGGGCCAGACUCCUACGGGAGGCAGCAGUGGGGAAUCUUGCACAAUGGGGGAAACCCUGAUGCAGCGACGCCGCGUGAGCGAUGAAGCCCUUCGGGGUGUAAAGCUCUUUCGACGGGAACGAUAAUGACGGUACCCGGAGAAGAAGCUGCGGCUAACUACGUGCCAGCAGCCGCGGUAAUACGUAGGCAGCAAGCGUUGUUCGGAGUUACUGGGCGUAAAGAGUGCGUAGGUGGUGCCCUAAGUCCGUUGUGAAAUCUCCCGGCUUAACUGGGAGGGUGCGGUGGAAACUGGGGUGCUUGAGUGUGGGAGAGGUAAGCGGAAUUCCUGGUGUAGCGGUGAAAUGCGUAGAUAUCAGGAGGAACACCGGUGGUGUAGACGGCUUACUGGACCACGACUGACACUGAGGCACGAAAGCGUGGGUAGCAAACAGGAUUAGAUACCCUAGUAGUCC